rnacentral:rRNA from 1 species
UACGUAGGGUGCAAGCGUUAUCCGGAAUUAUUGGGCGUAAAGAGCUCGUAGGCGGUUUGUCGCGUCUGCUGUGAAAACUGGGGGCUCAACCCCCAGCCUGCAGUGGGUACGGGCAGACUAGAGUGCGGUAGGGGAGAUUGGAAUUCCUGGUGUAGCGGUGGAAUGCGCAGAUAUCAGGAGGAACACCGGUGGCGAAGGCGGUUCUCUGGGCCUUACCUGACGCUGAGGAGCGAAAGCGUGGGGGAGCGAACAGG